rnacentral:rRNA from 1 species
UACGUAGGUCCCGAGCGUUGUCCGGAUUUAUUGGGCGUAAAGCGAGCGCAGGUGGUUUAUUAAGUCUGGUGUAAAAGGCAGUGGCUCAACCAUUGUAUGCAUUGGAAACUGGUAGACUUGAGUGCAGGAGAGGAGAGUGGAAUUCCAUGUGUAGCGGUGAAAUGCGUAGAUAUAUGGAGGAACACCGGUAGCGAAAGCGACUCUCUGGCCUGUAACUGACACUGAGGCUCGAAAGCGUGGGGAGCAAACAGG